rnacentral:tRNA from 1 species
GGAGAGAUGGUCGAGUUGGUUUAAGGCACCGGUCUUGAAAACCGGCGAUGGUUUACCCCAUCCGUGGGUUCGAAUCCCACUCUCUCCGCCA